AGUGAACGCUGGCGGUAGGCCUAACACAUGCAAGUCGAACGGCAGCACAGUAAGAGCUUGCUCUUACGGGUGGCGAGUGGCGUACGGGUGAGGAAUACAUCGGAAUCUACUUUUUCGUGGGGGUUAACGUAGGGAAACUUACGCUAAUACCGCAUACGACCUACGGUUGAAAGCAUGGGAUCUUCGGACCUUGCGCGUUUGAAUGAGCCGAUGUCGGAUUAGCUAGUUGGCGGGGUAAAGGCCCACCAAGGCGACGAUCCGUAGCUGGUCUGAGAGGAUGAUCAGCCACACUGGAACUGAGACACGGACCAGACUACUACGGGAGGCAGCAGUGGGGAAUAUUGGACAAUGGGCGCAAGCCUGAUCCAGCCAUACCGCGUGGGUGAAGAAGGCCUUCGGGUUGUAAAGCCCUUUUGUUGGGAAAGAAAAGCAGCAGGUUAAUACCCCGCUGUUCUGACGGUACCCAAAGAAUAAGCACCGGCUAACUUCGUG
rnacentral:rRNA from 1 species